GACCAGUGGCGAUCAGGGAUCGGAAGAUCAAGGUUCUGAGGAACAAGGAAGUACCUCUGGUGUUGGUUCAAUGGCAACACCGUAAGGGAUCAGAAAUGACUUGGGAACCGGAGCGCGAAAUGCGGGAGCAGCAUCCGGAACUAUUUGCAGAGUGAGACUUCGAGGGCGAAGUCUAAUCCAAGUGGGGGAGAGUUGUAACAGCCCGGAAUCUCAGGUAUUAUUAAAAUUAUGUUUUUGGGGUGAUUUAAGAGGGGACUCGGCGAGUUGGAGCCUAGACUCGCCGAGUAGGAUCGCGGACUUGGUCGCGGGUCCGCGACUGGACUCGACGAGUCCAGAUAUGGACUCGGCGAGUCGACGCUGUUCAGCAGAAACCCUAACCGUUCAGUUUGGAUCGUAUUUAACGCCUCUUAGGCCGUCAUUUUCAGUCUUUUGGUCGAUUGAGAGGAACCCUAAUCGCUGUGGACGCCUAGAGCAGGAGAGAAAGCUUUGGAACUUGGAAGAAUUGGUUAGGCAAGAAGAAGAGGGAUUUGGCUAAAGGAAUAUCAAGGAGGAUUGAGUCCUGAGAUUUGGGGGACACAGAGAGUGCGUUUUCAGGGAGGUUGUAGCUCGUCGGUUGUGCACGAGUCAUUUCAGGAGUUGCUAGCUUUCAGCAUAUACGAGGUACUAGCGAGGACCGUGGAAAGGCGCCGGCAUGAUCGAUACACACUGAAGACGGUUUUAUGAUCUUGGGAGUUUGAAUAAUUGUAUUGAUCGAAU